CAGUUUGAACCACAGCCCCUGUAACUCUUAGGCACCAACCUGCUGCACUAACUUAACAAUACAAAAAGACUUUAUUAAUGUCAUUUUGCUUUACUUGUGUUUAUAUAUUUAGCCAUAUAAACCACUUGACUGUUACUAUUAAAGCAUCUGAUACAAACUGAUUGUGAAAAUACUGCAGUCAAAUAUCACAACUGAAACCCCCGCCUCAGUUUAGAUGUGUAGUUGAAUCGCAUCAAUCUGGCAACCAUGCUCUCUUUCCAGACAUUGCAGCAACAUGGCGUUCAGACCAGCUGCUGUUGGAUGUCUGCAGAGAGUGCUUUUCUGGCUAAGGGGAGACCCUCUGGAGCAUUGGUUUUAUCCAUUGGGAUUUGAUUGGUUUGUGAAAACACGUGUGAUGUACACGUUAGUCAUUGCAUUUGAUUUUGUCACUCUGAGCUUCGUAGCAGUGCUGAAACAUUGAUGCUUCUUAUGCUAUUAUUUAAAUGUGCCAGACUUGUUUGUAAUUUGUUAAAUUGUCUACUGAAACAAAUAAAAAGUAGUUAUAAAAAUA